GAUGAACGCUAGCGGCAGGCCUAAUACAUGCAAGUCGAACGGGAUUGAGGAGCUUGCUCCUCAUGAGAGUGGCGCACGGGUGCGUAACACGUAUGUAACCUACCUUAAUCAGGGGAAUAGCCUCCCGAAAGAGAGAUUAAGACCGCAUAAAAUCACACUAUGGCAUCAUAGAAUGAUCAAAUAUUUAUAGGAUUAAGAUGGGCAUGCGGAACAUUAGCUAGUUGGUAAGGUAACGGCUUACCAAGGCUACGAUGUUUAGGGGAUCUGAGAGGAUGGCCCCCCACACUGGUACUGAGACACGGACCAGACUCCGACGGGAGGCAGCAGGAAGGAAUAUUGGUCAAUGGGCGGAAGCCUGAACCAGCCAUGCCGCGUGCAGGAAGACGGCCCUACGGGUUGUAAACUGCUUUUGUACCGGAAUAAACCUACUUACGUGUAAGUAGCUGAAGGUACGGUAAGAAUAAGGAUCGGCUAACUCCGUGCCAGCAGCCGCCGUAACAC
rnacentral:rRNA from 1 species